rnacentral:rRNA from 1 species
UUGGAGGGCAAGUCUGGUGCCAGCAGCCGCGGUAAUUCCAGCUCCAAUAGCGUAUAUUAAAGUUGCUGCAGUUAAAAAGCUUGUAGUUGAAUUUCGGGACCAAUAUGUCGGUCGUGCCUCGGUACGUACUGGCAUCGUUGGUUUCUCCCUUCUGACGAACUAUGAUGUCAUUUAUUUGGUGUCGUGGGGAAUCAGGACUGUUACUUUGAAAAAAUUAGAGUGUUUAAAGCAGGCUCACACUUGAAUACAUUAGCAUGGAAUAAUGAAAUAGGACGUUUGAUUCUAUUUUGUUGGUUUCUAGGAUCGACGUAAUGAUUAAUAGGGAUAGUUGGGGGCAUUAGUAUUCAAUUGUCAGAGGUGAAAUUCUUGGAUUUAUUGAAGACUAACUACUGCGAAAGCAUUUGCCAAGGAUGUUUUCAUUAAUCAAGAACGAAAGUUAGGGGAUCGAAGACGAUCAGAUACCGUCGUAGUCUUAACCAUAAACUAUGCCGACUAGGGAUCAGAUGAUGUUAAUUUUUUAAUGACUCAUUCGGCACCUUACGGGAAAC